rnacentral:lncRNA from 1 species
CUUCGCUCCCCCUCCUCCUCGGCUGGGCUGUGUGAAUGAAGCUCUGCCGGCUACGUGGGGCGCUCACUCAACUUGGUGUCCUGGACGCCAGAGCCGACCGAGCGCGCUGCCCACCGGCGGUGGACACGGACUCCGCCGCUCCUGACCUCGGCGACAGAGCAAAUCAGUUGCCCGGAGUUCCCAGCGAAGUUGUACCUGUGUGCCCGUGCGAUAACGUCAGUGGAAGCUGCCCCGAGUUUGGGGCUUUAGCACCUUGCAGAAAACAGCCACAGAGCUGCUUUUCUAUCAAGUCUCCCUAUAAAACUGAGUGGCUCUGGGAAACUUAGCCUGCGACCCCAGAGUGGGUGAAGAUAGGAUCAAGAUGGCCAUGUGGCAGGGUAAGAAAUUAGCACUUAUUCUUCUAACUGGUUUUUCCUCCUAC